AACGAACGCUGGCGGCAGGCCUAACACAUGCAAGUCGAGCGAAGCCUUCGGGCUUAGCGGCGGACGGGUGAGUAACGCGUGGGAACGUGCCCUUUGGUACGGAAUAGCCCCGGGAAACUGGGAGUAAUACCGUAUGUGCCCUUCGGGGGAAAGAUUUAUCGGCAAAGGAUCGGCCCGCGUUGGAUUAGGUAGUUGGUGGGGUAAUGGCCUACCAAGCCGACGAUCCAUAGCUGGUUUGAGAGGAUGAUCAGCCACACUGGGACUGAGACACGGCCCAGACUCCUACGGGAGGCAGCAGUGGGGAAUCUUAGACAAUGGGGGAAACCCUGAUCUAGCCAUGCCGCGUGAUCGAUGAAGGCCUUAGGGUUGUAAAGAUCUUUCAGGUGGGAAGAUAAUGACGGUACCACCAGAAGAAGCCCCGGCUAACUCCGUGCCAGCAGCCGCCGUAAUAC
rnacentral:rRNA from 1 species